rnacentral:rRNA from 1 species
AGGGAAUCUUCCACAAUGGACGCAAGUCUGAUGGAGCAACGCCGCGUGAGUGAAGAAGGUUUUCGGAUCGUAAAGCUCUGUUAUUGGUGAAGAAAGAUAGAGGUAGUAACUGGCCUUUAUUUGACGGUAAUCAACCAGAAAGUCACGGCUAACUACGUGCCAGCAGCCGCGGUAAUACGUAGGUGGCAAGCGUUAUCCGGAUUUAUUGGGCGUAAAGCGAGCGCAGGCGGUUUUUUAAGUCUGAUGUGAAAGCCCUCGGCUUAACCGAGGAAGCGCAUCGGAAACUGGGAAACUUGAGUGCAGAAGAGGACAGUGGAACUCCAUGUGUAGCGGUGAAAUGCGUAGAUAUAUGGAAGAACACCAGUGGCGAAGGCGGCUGUCUGGUCUGUAACUGACGCUGAGGCUCGAAGGCAUGGGUAGCGAACA